GAUGAACGCUGGCGGCGUGCCUAAUACAUGCAAGUCGAGCGAACAGACGAGGAGCUUGCUCCUCUGACGUUAGCGGCGGACGGGUGAGUAACACGUGGAUAACCUACCUAUAAAACUGGGAUAACUUCGGGAAACCGGAGCUAAUACCGGAUAAUAUAUUGAACCGCAUGGUUCAAUAGUGAAAGACGGUUUUGCUGUCACUUAUAGAUGGAUCCGCGCGGCAUUAGCUAGUUGGUAAGGUAACGGCUUACCAAGGCGACGAUGCGUAGCCGACCUGGUAGGGUGAUCGGCCACGCUGGAACUGAGACACGGUCCAGACUCCUACGGGAGGCAGCAGUAGGGAAUCUUCCGCAGUGGGCGAAAGCCUGACGGAGCAACGCCGCGUGAGUGAUGAAGGUCUUCGGAUCGUAAAACUCUGUUAUUAGGGAAGAACAAAUGUGUAAGUAACUAUGCACGUCUUGACGGUACCUAAUCAGAAAGCCACGGCUAACUACGCG
rnacentral:rRNA from 1 species